rnacentral:rRNA from 1 species
AGAUUGAACGCUGGCGGCAUGCCUAACACAUGCAAGUCGAACGGGAGUAGCAAUACUCUAGUGGCGGACGGGUGAGGAAUACGUAGGAAUUUGCCCUUAAGUGGGGGAUAACCCGGGGAAACCCGGAUUAAUACCGCAUGACCUCGAAAGAGCAAAGUGGGGGAUCGCAAGACCUCACGCUUUUGGAGAAGCCUACGUCGGAUUAGCUAGUUGGUGAGGUAAUGGCUCACCAAGGCGACGAUCCGUAACUGGUCUGAGAGGAUGAUCAGCCACACCGGAACUGAGACACGGUCCGGACUCCUACGGGAGGCAGCAGUGGGGAAUAUUGGACAAUGGGCGCAAGCCUGAUCCAGCAAUGCCGCGUGUGUGAAGAAGGCCUUCGGUUGUAAAGCACUUUAAGUUAGGGAAGUAAAAGACUACGCUACUAACACCAGUGAGUCUUCGACGGUUACCGAACAGAACUAAAGACACCGGACUAAACUCUAGUCGCCAGCAGACCGC